CAAAUUUAAGGUCAAAGUAGUCGAAGUGGAUAAGUCAACUGUUUUUGCAAUGUAUCCAAUUUGGCCUUAAAGGGACCCUAUAGUCACCAGAACAACUACAGCUUACAGUAGUUGUUCUGGUGAGUAUAAUCAUUCCCUGCAGAUGUUUUCAUUGCUCCCUAAGGACACAUCAAGUGGUCACUCCUCAGAUCGCUAGUAGAGGUGCUUCCUGGGGCAGUGCUGCACAGUGUGCAGCUGUAACAAAUCACUGAGGUCUUGUUUAGUCCUGGAACUCAGGUGCAGUAACAGCUCUCCCUUACAAGCACGAUCCACAGAGAUCCUG